rnacentral:ncRNA from 1 species
GUUAGAGCAUUGAGAGGACCUUUCCCUAGUACGAGAGGACCGAGAAGGACGCACCUCUGGUGUACCAGUUAUCGUACCCACGGUAAACGCUGGGUAGCCAAGUGCGGAGCAGAUAACUACUGAAAGCAUCUAAGUAGUAAGCCCACCCCAAGAUGAGUGCUCUGUGACGAUUGACAAUCA